rnacentral:rRNA from 1 species
CCUACGGUGGGCAGCAGUCGAGAAUCAUUCACAAUGGGGGAAACCCUGAUGGUGCGACGCCGCGUGGGGGAAUGAAGGUCUUCGGAUUGUAAACCCCUGUCAUGUGGGAGCAAAUUAAAAAGAUAGUACCACAAGAGGAAGAGACGGCUAACUCAGUGCCAGCAGCCGCGGUAAUACAGAGGUCUCAAGCGUUGUUCGGAAUCACUGGGCGUAAAGCGUGCGUAGGCUGUUUCGUAAGUCGUGUGUGAAAGGCGCGGGCUCAACCCGCGGACGGCACAUGAUACUGCGAGACUAGAGUAAUGGAGGGGGAACCGGAAUUCUCGGUGUAGCAGUGAAAUGCGUAGAUAUCGAGAGGAACACUCGUGGCGAAGGCGGGUUCCUGGACAUUAACUGACGCUGAGGCACGAAGGCCAGGGGAGCGAAAGGGAUUAGAUACCCCAGUAGUC